AUUGAACGCUGGCGGCAGGCCUAACACAUGCAAGUCGAACGAGGGGCGGGCGGGUGAGAAAUGUCUGGGAAACCGCCUGAUGGAGGGGGAUAACUACUGGAAACGGUAGCUAAUACCGCAUACCAUCGGAUGUGCCCAUAUGGGAUUAGCUAGUAGGUGGGGUAAAGGCUCACCUAGGCGACGAUCCCUAGCUGGUCUGAGAGGAUGAACAGCCACACUGGAACUGAGACACGGUCCAGACUCCUACGGGAGGCAGCAGUGGGGAAUAGUGCACAAUGGGCGCAAGCCUGAUGCAGCCAUGCCGCGUGUAUGAAGAAGGCCUUCGGGUUGUAAAGUACUUUCAGCGGGGAGGCGUUACCCGCAGAAGAAGCACCGGCUAACUCCGUGCCAGCAGCCGCGGUAAUUC
rnacentral:rRNA from 1 species